rnacentral:rRNA from 1 species
UACGUAGGUGGCAAGCGUUGUCCGGAUUUAUUGGGCGUAAAGAGCGUGUAGGCGGCCAGGUAGGUCUGCUGUGAAAACUCGAGGCUCAACCUCGAGACGCCGAUGGAAACCGUCUGGCUAGAGUCCGGAAGAGGAGAGUGGAAUUCCUGGUGUAGCGGUGAAAUGCGCAGAUAUCAGGAAGAACACCCGUGGCUAAGGCGGCUCUCUAGUACGGUACUGACGCUGAGACGCGAAAGCGUGGGGAGCGAACAGG